UAUUGGACACGUGUCUCUCUCUCUCGUGCAGCGUUGUUUCUUCGGUACGUUUAUUCCUUCUCCAUCUCUAUCGCUCCGAUUCCCAUUUCUCUGUCGCGAUCCGGAUCCAUUCGGCUCUGUCAUUUUCCCAGAUCUGUUGUGUUCCUUUCGAUUUCUUCGAACGAGUAGACGUGUUUUCUUGUUGAUUCUCUAGAUCAGAGUCUGUCGAACCAUCGAUCAAUGAUUCUCCGUCAUUAGAUAUAUUUUGUUC
rnacentral:lncRNA from 1 species